rnacentral:lncRNA from 1 species
CAACCUCCCAUUACAUCAACAAACUAAAAAGUCUUCAAGAAACACUAGAUUCAAGGAGACGAAGGAUAAUUAAACGGUUCAUCAUUCAAUUUGGACGUAGCAAAGUUAUUUGUGUCGUGUAACAUCCCUUUAAAUAUUCUGGAUCAUCCCAAUUUCUCCAAAUUUAUUGAAAAAUAUGCUGGAAAAACUUAUCCAUGCCGAUGGGUCGUUAACAACUUGGUUGUGGAAGUAUGUCAAUGAGUUUUGAAUAGAAUAAAAAAAAAAUGUGGAAGAAGAGGAAAUUUUCAUUGUACUAGAUGAGACAAGAGAUCAUCAAGGGAGAUCAAUAACGGCAAUUUUGAUUGGCCCUUUGGACGGACAUUUCUGUGGGAGACCUUACCUUAUUGACUUGAUUGAUAUUCAGAUUGCAAACGCAAACAAUAUUUCGUGCCAAAGUUAUCUAUUCACCCUUUAUGGUCAGUGGUCACUAAUAAUUUAUGAGUACACUUCCUGUAAUGAUUGUUUUGAUUUUCUCUAACUAACAAUAUAUUUUGUCUUGCAUAGAUUUACAGAAUAUAAUAUAUAUUUAUGAAGUUAUUUAUAGGGAAGUUAUAUAUUCAUACUAUACAACAAUCCCUCUUUCCUCAUCUGUAAAUAAAUAAAUAAUUUAAGUUAAA